rnacentral:rRNA from 1 species
GGGGAAUAUUGGACAAUGGGCGCAAGCCUGAUCCAGCCAUGCCGCGUGAGUGAUGAAGGCCUUAGGGUUGUAAAGCUCUUUUACCUGGGAAGAUAAUGACUGUACCAGGAGAAUAAGCCCCGGCAAACUUCGUGCCAGCAGCCGCGGUAAUACGAAGGGGGCUAGCGUUGCUCGGAAUCACUGGGCGUAAAGGGCGCGUAGGUGGCGAAUCAAGUCAGAGGUGAAAUCCUGAAGCUCAACUUCAGAACUGCCUUUGAUACUGAUUUGCUAGAGUUCGAGAGAGGUAAGUGGAAUUCCGAGUGUAGAGGUGAAAUUCGUAGAUAUUCGGAAGAACACCAGUGGCGAAGGCGGCUUACUGGCUCGAUACUGACACUGAGGCGCGAAAGCGUGGGGAGCAAAC